rnacentral:lncRNA from 1 species
CUGUAGGACCCAGGCUAUGGCCUUUUCUGGAUUGUCCACUCUGGUUUCUGCUUCUCUUCCUUCUCUCCUGAUCCCUGGUCACUCCUCAUGUGCUCUGUGCAAAGAUCCGCCUACAUGAGGAUUCAUGGAGUGUCCGAGACCUUCCUUGACCAGUUCUUCCAUUGGCUGACUCCAUGAACACUCUGGAGUGCCCAUGAGGCGUCAAGUAGAAUGCUGGAUGCUGGGAGCACACAGCCAAAAUGCGCAGAUUGAAAACAAGCUGGUCAUCCCAACAGAGCAGGCUCUCUGAGGGUUGGAUCGGCAAACAGAGCUAUAUGUCCAAGAAGAUGGAGCUGAGCCCUUGCAGGCUUUCUGGCUAUUUGCCCUUCACCCUUCACCUGUCCACACUGCCUCACGAUGACAUUUGUGAUGUCCUUGGUCUUUGGCAGACAAUACCUCUGAGUACGAGUGUCCAGGUAGUCCGUUCGUAUUGAGCUCAGCACCUGCUCUCAUGCCUCCUUCUAAUCACCAUUGCCUUUGACCACUUUAGAUGAGAGGUCCUUCUGCUGGGUUCAUUAAGUCCCUG